UACGUAGGGCGCAAGCGUUGUCCGGAAUUAUUGGGCGUAAAGAGCUCGUAGGCGGUUUGUCGCGUCUGCUGUGAAAACCUAAGGCUCAACCUUGGGCUUGCAGUGGGUACGGGCAGACUAGAGUGCGGUAGGGGUGACUGGAAUUCCUGGUGUAGCAGUGGAAUGCGCAGAUAUCAGGAGGAACACCGAUGGCGAAGGCAGCUCUCUGGGUCCCUACCGACGCUGGGGUGCGAAAGCAUGGGGAGCGAACAGG
rnacentral:rRNA from 1 species